rnacentral:rRNA from 1 species
CACGUAGGGCGCAAGCGUUGUCCGGAAUUAUUGGGCGUAAAGAGCUCGUAGGCGGUCUGUCACGUCGGCUGUGAAAACCCGAGGCUCAACCUCGGGCCUGCAGUCGAUACGGGCAGACUUGAGUACUGCAGGGGAGACUGGAAUUCCUGGUGUAGCGGUGAAAUGCGCAGAUAUCAGGAGGAACACCGGUGGCGAAGGCGGGUCUCUGGGCAGUAACUGACGCUGGAGGAGCGAAAGCGUGGGGAGCGAACAGG